GAUGAAGAACGCAGCGAAAUGCGAUAAGUAAUGUGAAUUGCAGAAUUCAGUGAAUCAUCGAGUCUUUGAACGCACAUUGCGCCCCCUGGUAUUCCGGGGGGCAUGCCUGUCCGAGCGUCAUUGCUGCCCUCAAGCACGGCUUGUGUGUUGGGCCCCCGUCCCCGGUUUCCCCCGGGGACGGGCCCGAAAGGCAGCGGCGGCACCGCGUCCGGUCCUCGAGCGUAUGGGGCUUUGUCACCCGCUCUGUGGGCCCGGCCGGCGCCAGCCGACACCCAACUUUAUUUCUAAGGUUGACCUCGGAUCAGGUAGGGAUACCCGCUGAACUUAAGCAUAUCAAUAAGCGGAGGA
rnacentral:misc_RNA from 1 species